rnacentral:rRNA from 1 species
GACGAACGCUGGCGGCGUGCUUAACACAUGCAAGUCGAACGAAGAGCGAUGGAAGCUUGCUUCUAUCAAUCUUAGUGGCGAACGGGUGAGUAACGCGUAAUCAACCUGCCCUUCAGAGGGGGACAACAGUUGGAAACGACUGCUAAUACCGCAUACGAUCUAAUCUCGGCAUCGAGGAUAGAUGAAAGGUGGCCUCUACAUGUAAGCUAUCACUGAAGGAGGGGAUUGCGUCUGAUUAGCUAGUUGGAGGGGUAACGGCCCACCAAGGCGAUGAUCAGUAGCCGGUCUGAGAGGAUGAACGGCCACAUUGGGACUGAGACACGGCCCAGACUCCUACGGGAGGCAGCAGUGGGGAAUCUUCCGCAAUGGACGAAAGUCUGACGGAGCAACGCCGCGUGAGUGAUGACGGCCUUCGGGUUGUAAAGCUCUGUUAAUCGGGACGAAAGGCCUUCUUGCGAACAGUUAGAAGGAUUGACGGACCGAAUA